UCCCGGUUGGUGUAACCGGCAGCAUCGUGGACUUUGGAUCCGCGAGCCCAGGUUCGAAUCCUGGACCGGGAG
rnacentral:tRNA from 1 species